CAGGCCUAACACAUGCAAGUCGAGCGCACCUUCGGGUGAGCGGCGGACGGGUUAGUAACGCGUGGGAACGUGCCCAGAUCUAAGGAAUAGCCACUGGAAACGGUGAGUAAUACCUUAUACGCCCUUCGGGGGAAAGAUUUAUCGGAUUUGGAUCGGCCCGCGUUAGAUUAGGUAGUUGGUGGGGUAACGGCCUACCAAGCCUACGAUCUAUAGCUGGUUUUAGAGGAUGAUCAGCAACACUGGGACUGAGACACGGCCCAGACUCCUACGGGAGGCAGCAGUGGGGAAUCUUGGACAAUGUGCGCAAGCCUGAUCCAGCCAUGCCGCGUGAGUGAUGAAGGCCUUAGGGUCGUAAAGCUCUUUCGCCAGGGAUGAUAAUGACAGUACCUGGUAAAGAAACCCCGGCUAACUCCGUGCCAGCAGCCGCGGUAAUACGGAGGGGGUUAGCGUUGUUCGGAAUUACUGGGCGUAAAGCGUACGUAGGCGGAUCAGAAAGUUGGGGGUGAAAUCCCGGGGCUCAACCCCGGAACUGCCUCCAAAACUCCUGGUCUAGAGUUCGAGAGAGGUGAGUGGAAUUCCGAGUGUAGAGGUGAAAUUCGUAGAUAUUCGGAGGAACACCAGUGGCGAAGGCGGCUCACUGGCUCGAUACUGACGCUGAGGUACGAAAGUGUGGGGAGCAAACAGGAUUAGAUACCCUGGUAGUCCACACCGUAAACGAUGAAUGCCAGU
rnacentral:rRNA from 1 species